GUGGGGAAUAUUGGACAAUGGGCGAAAGCCUGAUCCAGCCAUGCCGCGUGUGUGAAGAAGGCCCUAGGGUUGUAAAGCACUUUAAGUUGUGAGGAAGGCUUUCAAAUUAAUACUUUGGAGGAUUGACGUUAGCAACAGAAUAAGCACCGGCUAACUCCGUGCCAGCAGCCGCGGUAAUACGGAGGGUGCAAGCGUUAAUCGGAAUUACUGGGCGUAAAGCGCGCGUAGGUGGCUAAUCAAGCCAGAUGUGAAAUCCCCGGGCUUAACCUGGGAACUGCAUUUGGAACUGAUUGGCUAGAGUACAGCAGAGGAGUGUGGAAUUUCAGGUGUAGCGGUGAAAUGCGUAGAGAUCUGAAGGAACAUCAGUGGCGAAGGCGACACUCUGGGCUGAUACUGACACUGAGGUGCGAAAGCGUGGGUAGCAAACAGGAUUAGAAACCCUAGUAGUCC
rnacentral:rRNA from 1 species